rnacentral:miRNA from 1 species
ACAAGAAUCCCCUUGAGAUCUUGUUAAGACACAGGUUCUGUCCCAGAGACUCUGCAUUUCUAACAAGCUUCCUGAUGCUGCUGGC